GCUAAGAAUAUUCCGCAAUGGACGAAAGUCUGACGGAGCGACGCCGCGUGGAUGACGAAGGCCGAAAGGUUGUAAAGUCCUUUUGUCGAUGAAGAAUAAGGGUAGGAGGGAAUGCCUGCCUGAUGACGUUAGUCGGCGAAUAAGCCCCGGCUAAUUACGUGCCAGCAGCCGCGGUAACACGUAAGGGGCAAGCGUUGUUCGGAAUUAUUGGGCGUAAAGGGUACGUAGGCGGUUUGGUAAGCCCGGCGUGAAAUCCUGCAGCUUAACUGUAGAGCUGCGCUGGGAACUGCGAAACUUGAGUCAUGGAAGGGGAGUUAGAAUUCCAGGUGUAGGGGUGAAAUCUGUAGAUAUCUGGAAGAAUACCGGUGGCGAAGGCGAACUCCUGGCCAAUGACUGACGCUGAGGUACGAAAGUGCGGGGAGCAAACAGGAUUAGAAACCCCAGUAGUCC
rnacentral:rRNA from 1 species